GCCCUCUUCAUACAUCAUUCCACUACUGCAUAUGCAACGUAAUCAAACAUUUAUGUAGUAUGAUACUGACUGACACUGUCUUGCAGUAUCUGGCAACACACUUUCUCUUGAGGAGCUUCAGGAGGAUAGUAUUAAUCCAGGUGAAGGAACUUCAGCUGCAGAAGAUGAGGAGACUGUGGAUGCAAGAAGGCUGGAGGACCCAGACGGUGUACCAAUCUGGGACCACAGAUUCACAAACAGUCAGAGGUCUCUACAGCACCCACUUAAAAAACAAAUUGAGUUGGCAGACAUACAAAUCACAUAUUACAAAAGAAAACUGCAGGAAUUGGACCUAGAUAUGGAAAUCAAAAGAAAGACACUAAAGAAACUGGACUUCGAAGUCCAGAAACUACAAAAAGAAGUCAUGUUUCAAUGCACGCUGUAAGCAGGACUGUAGGUUACAUCUUCAGAGAGUAGAACUUUUGACAAUGUCAUGAUGGUCAAGAUGCUUAUCCAAAAGAAUUGUGUGGCUUACCUUGUGA